UUCCUGGUGGCUCAGUGGUAAAGCAUCUGCCUACCAAUGCAGAAGACACAGGUUCGAUCCCUGAUCCGGGAAG